UUGACUGCCCCUUGCCCCCUUUCUCUGCCUUUUUGGAGUACGAGAAAGGGGCGGGGCAGAAAUAAAGCAACCGGAAUAGAGUAAAGUGCUUCCAGGCACACCUUCGAAUUUUCGGUGCAACGUGAGUUUAGAAGUUCAGAUUUCUUUCAUCAAUCCCGCCAAUCCUGCAGCGAAGCCUCCAUCACCAAAGCGUCAAACCUGUAAACCACCACCCCCGACAAUCCAAAAUUUCCCAGCUCCAUUACCGGAUUCUUCUCGGCCAUUAAAAUGCCACCUAAUUACCCUCAAAUUCAAUCCACUUUGCAAUUGAGAAAUUCUAACUUGUCGUUCCCAAAUGUCAACUCCAUCACCGACGACAACUGCAUUUUUCUGGUUCUUCAGCUUGCUUAAUCACCGACAGCCGCCCUCUCCUAGCUCUGUCUUGCUUAACAUGGACUUGGCUCUCAUGGUGCAGAAUGAUAUCACUGCUCCAUAAGUAUUUUUUUGUACAGGCUCAAAAAAAAAACUUGGAAACCUUCUUAUUUAAUGUCAUGUUUUUUCUUGUUCAAGAGAAAAUAUUAUGAUGCUAUGCAUGUCAACGUAAAACAACUUUUUCUCGUUUCCAAGGGUACUUCAGAAGAUAAGAAGAUGAAGAUUGAAUACGACGAUCUAGUUUGAAUCGUACAUAUUAUUUGCUUAUUUUAGAAUUUUAGUUUAAGUAGAUAGCAUCAUAUUAUAGCAAUUUUAUUUUUAGGACAUUAUUUGAAGAAAUUGAUGCUUUGACUGAAAUUGGUUUUGAGUAUAAAUCUAAUGUAGCAAUUUUUUUUGGCA